AGAUUGAACGCUAGCGGGAUGCUUUACACAUGCAAGUCGAACGGCAGCGCGGACUUCGGUCUGGCGGCGAGUGGCGAACGGGUGAGUAAUAUAUCGGAACGUGCCCAGUAGCGGGGGAUAACUACGCGAAAGCGUGGCUAAUACCGCAUACGCCCUACGGGGGAAAGGGGGGAUCGCAAGACCUCUCACUAUUGGAGCGGCCGAUAUCAGAUUAGCUAGUUGGUGAGGUAAAGGCUCACCAAGGCGACGAUCUGUAGCUGGUUUGAGAGGACGACCAGCCACACUGGGACUGAGACACGGCCCAGACUCCUACGGGAGGCAGCAGUGGGGAAUUUGGACAA
rnacentral:rRNA from 1 species